rnacentral:rRNA from 1 species
CCCUCUGGGUCCAACCUCCCACCCGUGUCUAUCGUACCUUGUUGCUUCGGCGGGCCCGCCGUUUCGACGGCCGCCGGGGAGGCCCUGCGCCCCCGGGCCCGCGCCCGCCGAAGACCCCAACAUGAACGCUGUUCUGAAAGUAUGCAGUCUGAGUUGAUUAUCGUAAUCAGUUAAAACUUUCAACAACGGAUCUCUUGGUUCCGGCAUCGAUGAAGAACGCAGCGAAAUGCGAUAAGUAAUGUGAAUUGCAGAAUUCAGUGAAUCAUCGAGUCUUUGAACGCACAUUGCGCCCCCUGGUAUUCCGGGGGGCAUGCCUGUCCGAGCGUCAUUGCUGCCCUCAAGCACGGCUUGUGUGUUGGGCCCCCGUCCCCCUCUCCCGGGGGACGGGCCCGAAAGGCAGCGGCGGCACCGCGUCCGGUCCUCGAGCGUAUGGGGCUUUGUCACCUGCUCUGUAGGCCCGGCCGGCGCCAGCCGACACUCAACUUUAUUUUUCUAAGGUUGACCUCGGAUCAGGUAGGGAUACCCGC